CGCGCGGCGGGCUGCGGGCGGAGCGCGCUGUGGAGAGGCGGCGGAGCGCGGGCCCAGGCAGGCGCGAGGAGCCGUGGCUGAGAUAAAAAAAUGGCAAACUCCUUUGCAUCAAAGACCUUCACUGCACUUUCAGAUCUGCAUCCAAAUAUGGCUAAUCUGAAAAUAAUUGGUAUAGUUAUUGGGAAAACAGAUGUCAAAGGCUUUCCAGACAGAAAAAAUAUUGGAUCAGAGAGGUACACUUUCAGUUUUACGAUUCGGGACUCACCAACCCAUUUUGUAAAUGCAACGUCCUGGGGCAGCGAAGGUUACAUCAGGUCACUUUCUGACAGCUUUAGAGUUGGAGAGUGUGUGACAAUCGAAAAUCCUCUGAUCCAAAGAAAGGAAUUAGAAAGAGAGGAAAAAUUCAGCCCUGCAACUCCUGGUAACUAUAAACUAUUGCUCAGUGAGAAUCACUCCAUGGUAAAAGUUUGUUCCAGUUACGAAGUGGACACCAAGCUCCUUGCUUUGAUAUACUUACCUGUUAAAGAAUCCCGUGAUUUUUAUUCAUUGGGUGACAUUAUUGCAAAUGGAUACAGUCUGGAUGGGAGGAUUAUUAAUGUGCUUGCGGCUGUGAGAUCGGUUGGAGAGCCAAAAUACUUUACAACUGCAGACCGGAGGAAAGGUCAGAUGUGUGAGGUGAAGCUCUAUGAUGAGACGGAGUCUUCUUUUGCAAUGAUAUGUUGGGAUAAUGAAUCUAUCCUGGUUGCACAGAGCUGGGUGCCACGAGACACAGUAAUAUUUGCCUCAGAUGUAAGAAUAAGUUUUGACAAAUUUCGGAACUGCAUGACAGCAACUGUAAUCUCAAAAACCAUUAUUACAACUAAUCCAGAUACCCCAGAAGCUAAUAUUCUAUUGAAUUUUAUAAGAGAAAAUAAAGAAACAAGUCCCCUGGAUGAUGAAAUCGACAGUUAUUUGAAAGAAUCCAUAGAUUUAAAUACAAUAGUUGAUGUCUAUACAGUUAAGCAAUUAAAGGCAAAAGCUUCAAAGAAUGAAGGAAAAACUGACACUUUCUACGGCAUUCUUUAUGCUUACAUUUCUAUGCUGAACAUUGAUGAUGACACCACAACAGUAGUUCGACACCGAUGCUCAGGCUGUGGUUACAUUGUAAAUGAAAGAUCCAGCACUUGUACUUCUUGCAACAAAGAUUCUUUGGAAUUUAAAUCUGUUUUUCUCAGCUUCCACUUGCUGAUUGACCUCACUGACCACACCGGUACCCUCCAUGCCUGCAGUCUCACAGGAGGGGUUGCUGAAGAAACUUUAGGCUGCACGGUAAAUGAGUUUCUUGCAAUGACGGAUGAACAGAAAACAGCAUUGAAGUGGCAAUUUCUUCUGGAAAGAAGCAAAAUUUAUUUAAAAUUUUUUUUAUCACACAGAGCAAGGGGCGGAUUGAGAAUUAGUGUGCUCUCAUGUAAACUCGCAGACCCUAUUGAGGCAAGUAGGAACUUGUCUGGAGGAGGAAAUAUUUAAAACAAAAUACUUUAAACUCUGGACAAGAAUAUGAGUUUCAACUCUCUUGAAAGUGGAAAAUGCAUUUGAAAAUUAUGGAUAAAAUUGUAUUUUGUUCAAACAUGGUAAAAAUGUUUCUAUAAGUUGCUAUUAUGUUUCCUUCUGGAGUUGAUUAGGAGAUAAGUCUUAAAAUCUCUCAUCUGACCCAGCUCCUUUCUUGAAAGGCCUUUUCUACUGACUUGGCCCAUUCCCCCCCAACUUGGAAAAUGUUUGCAUGAAUUAAUAAACAAGUUUAAUCUUCCCCAGAGAUAUCAGUGAUUUAAGUUCCUUUCCCCACUGUCUUGUUUCCCAGGAGAAAGAUCAGAUCCUCCAAAAAUGACCUCCCUGGAGCUUGGCAGUGGCUGAGACUGCUCUCCAGGAGCUGGUGGGGCACUGGGUGGGAACAGCGGAAGCCCACGGGCAGUGCUGGGCAGCAGCUUUGAACACCAAAGACUUUCUCUGAUCCUUGUCUUCUCUGAUGACACAUGGGGCCACCCAACGCUUGUGAAAGUUGGUUGACCAGGGGCAAUAUGUGUGAGUCUGAAUCAACUGAGAGGAGACCAGCCUCAAAAGUUCUAGGAGUGGCACCAGUCUGGGACCUGAAAGGGUGGGGCUGCUCUGACAGGACGCUGGCCCCCCACUCCACCCACCACACCCUCCUCGUCAAAGCCCUGGAGCGCCCUGCUCAGCCCCACGCCAUUCCAAGACACUUGCUGCAGGGCACCGGCCUACAAGCCCGGUCAUUGCUGGCCUACGGUCUGGGAGGUUUGGCACUUCCAUCACCCACCACAGGAGAGAAAAACAAAAAGCCCAGCCCUGCCGGGAGCCCUCCUGUAUCACACCGACUCGCAGAAGAGCGUGACCGUGGAACAGGGCACCAUGAAGG